AGCGGACACAAAGCAUUGAAAGAUGUUGAAGUACGGGAUUGUUUUAUUUUUUGUAUUCUGCCUAACUGCAGUUUCUGCACUAGAAGAAGAUGAUGUGCGUUCUGUUGAACCUGAAGAACUUGAAAAAUUGUUAGACGAAGGUAAUUUUGAAGAAUUCAGCAAAUUGAUGCGUAUUGAUGAUGUCAAUUUAGUGAUUCCUAAA